CUUCUCCGCCUCAAAUCUCACCAUCGACGAGAUCACAAGCUCCCCGGCGAAGCUAGCAGGCGGAGCGCGCGGCGCGGCGGCACGGCGGCGUGGCGAACCAGGCCAAUUUCCCUAAUCCCCUUCCUCGUCGCGGCGAAGCCUCGAAAUCUCUCCAUGGACGCGACCAACGGCUCCCCCACGAAUCUAGCAGGCGGUUCGCGCGGCAGUGCGGCGACGGGCCGGCGACGAUUCGGUCCAGCAGCUUCGCCGCGGGUUCGACAUCACCGAUGACUGGCAGGGAGGAGGGAUCUGGGUCUCGAUUUUUGAGCGGAUGAUGAAGACUGAUUUGAGAGAAAUCAUGGCUACAUUACAUAUUCUAGCUUCUUGGAAGAGAAAUUUUACAUGCCUCUCCUUGCUUUCAGGUUCCUGGCAAUGCAGUUUGCCACUAGUUUUUGUUCAUCUACUAGUUUAAGGUGCGGUCUCACAAACUGCUAAAACCUGGUGCUUUUUGGUGUUGUAUUGUACUCCAAGAACAUGCAUCCUACGAUGCAGACCACUUUGUACGACUAUGUCUUUUUCUCUCAUAACUGUUGGAGACCAGUUUUAUACAUCUAUGACAAAAUCUGUGGGGUAGCUGAUACUGAUGCA